rnacentral:rRNA from 1 species
GCCCACCAAGGCAUCGAUGGGUAGGGGUUCUGAGAGGAAGGUCCCCCACAUUGGAACUGAGACACGGUCCAAACUCCUACGGGAGGCAGCAGUGAGGAAUAUUGGUCAAUGGCGGAAGCCUGAACCAGCCAAGUAGCGUGCAGGAUGACGGCCCUCCGGGUUGUAAACUGCUUUUAGUUGGGAAUAAACGGGGGCUCGUGAGCCCCUUGCAUGUACCAUCAGAAAAAGGACCGGCUAAUUCCGUGCCAGCAGCCGCGGUAAUACGGAAGGUCCGGGCGUUAUCCGGAUUUAUUGGGUUUAAAGGGAGCGCAGGCGGACCUUUAAGUCAGCUGUGAAAUACGGCGGCUCAACCGUCGAACUGCAGUUGAUACUGGAGGUCUUGAGUGCACACAGGGAUGCUGGAAUUCAUGGUGUAGCGGUGAAAUGCUCAGAUAUCAUGAAGAACUCCGAUCGCGAAGGCAGGCAUCCGGGGUGCAACUGACGCUGAGGCUCGAAAGUGCGGGUAUCAAACAGGAUUAGAUACCCUGGUAGUCCGCACAGUAAACGAUGAAUACUCGCGGUUUGCGAUACAGUGUAAGCCGCCAAGCGAAAGCGUUAAGUAUUCCACCUGGGGAGUAC